CGGGGUGCACCAGGCGCGAAAACUNUGCAAUACACGAAAGUGUGACAGGGUCAUCCCGAGUGCCGACCGCUGAGGUUGGCUUUUACCCAGUCUAGAAAGCUGGGGGAAUAAGGAGAGGGCAAGUCUGGUGUCAGCCGCCGCGGUAAUACCAGCUCUCCGAGUGGUGUGGACGUUUAUUGGGCCUAAAGCAUCCGUAGCUGGCUGAACAAGUCCCCUGUUAAACCCACCGAUUUAAUCGUUGGUCUGCGGGGGAUACUGCUCGGCUAGGGGACGAGAGAGGCAGACGGUAUUCCCGGGGUAGGGGUGAAAUCCUAUAAUCCCGAGAAGACCACCAGUGGCGAAGGCUGUCUGCUAGAACGCGCCCGACGGUGAGGGAUGAAAGCUGGGGGAGCGAACCGGAUUAGAUACCCGGGUAGUUCCAGCUGUAAACGAUGCAGACUAGGUGUUUGGACGGCCACGUGCCGUUCUAGUGCCGCAGGGAAGCUGUUAAGUCUGCCGCCUGGGGAGUACGAUCGCAAGAUUGAAACUUAAAGGAAUUGGCGGGGGAG
rnacentral:rRNA from 1 species